UCUGAGGCGGGAUUCAGAAUUGUGUCAACUCCGUGGAUCUAGUCAAACAGAUAGGCCAGGGCAUGGUGGGAUACUUUAUCAUGUCUUGCAUCAGCUGCUUCCAAUAUCCACUGACAAAUCUGCACGGCCUGAUGAAUGGAGGGACAAGUUGUCUGAAAGGGCUUCAUGGUUCCUGGUGGUUCUAUGCGGCCGAUCCGGGG
rnacentral:misc_RNA from 1 species